AGACCGCAAGGGGAUGGGGUUCCCCCUUUAACCGCCCUUGCAAGGGCUGAUGACUCCUGCCGUAAC
rnacentral:ncRNA from 1 species